AAUGCUUAUGAUGAUGAUAAAUUAAUCUUACAUGAAUUUAAGUGAUUGUUUAUUACAUGCACUACCAACUGAAGCAUU
rnacentral:snoRNA from 2 species